rnacentral:misc_RNA from 1 species
GCAAACUUGGUCAUUUAGAGGAAGUAAAAGUCGUAACAAGGUUUCCGUAGGUGAACCUGCGGAAGGAUCAUUACCAUAAGAAAAGAAUUUCAUGUUCUUUAGAUCCAAUCGUGUACUCGUACUCGUUGCUUCCAUGGGGUUUGGGUUUCGGUAUCCAUUCGUCUGCCCUUUGAGGUCAGGCACCCAUGGAAGAUAUGUAAACACUCCGAAUUGAUAGUAUUUGUCUGAGUAAAGGUAGAAAAUACAAGUUAAAAACUUUCAACAACGGAUCUCUUGGUUCUCGCAUCGAUGAAGAACGCAGC